AAGGAUCAUUAAAGAGUUAGGGUCUUUUAGGCCCAACCUCCAACCCUAUGUUUAAUUAUCCUGUUGCUUUGGUAGGUACCAAAUUAAUUUGGAUUUAUACCUACCAAGCUUAAACAAAUUCUUGAUAAAUAUGAUGUCUAAGUAUUAAUAUAAUAAUUAAAACUUUCAACAACGGAUCUCUUGGUUCUGGCAUCGAUGAAGAACGCAGCGAAAUGCGAUAAGUAAUGCGAAUUGCAGAAUUCAGUGAGUCAUCGAAUCUUUGAACGCAUAUUGCGCCCUUUGGUAUUCCGAAGGGCAUGCCUGUUCGAGCGUCAUUAUCAACCCUCAAGUUUAACUUGGUAUUGGACCUUUAUCAAUAAAAAGAUAGGUCUCAAAGAUAAUGACAGAGUUUUUAAACUCUUGAUGCAACGAGCUUUUUAAGCACGCAUUAUAGUGAUUAAUAACUCUUGUCUUUAAUUAAUUUAUAAGGUUG
rnacentral:misc_RNA from 1 species